rnacentral:rRNA from 1 species
GACGAACGCUGGCGGCGUGCUUAACACAUGCAAGUCGAACGGAAAGGCCCUGCUUUUGUGGGGUGCUCGAGUGGCGAACGGGUGAGUAACACGUGAGUAACCUGCCCUUGACUUUGGGAUAACUUCAGGAAACUGGGGCUAAUACCGGAUAGGAGCUCCUGCUGCAUGGUGGGGGUUGGAAAGUUUCGGCGGUUGGGGAUGGACUCGCGGCUUAUCAGCUUGUUGGUGGGGUAGUGGCUUACCAAGGCUUUGACGGGUAGCCGGCCUGAGAGGGUGACCGGCCACAUUGGGACUGAGAUACGGCCCAGACUACUACGGGAGGCAGCAGUGGGGAAUAUUGCACAAUGGGCGGAAGCCUGAUGAAGAAACGCCGCGUGCGGGAUGACGGCCUUCGGGUUGUAAACCGCUUUCGCCUGUGACGAAGCGUGAGUGACGGUAAUGGGUAAAGAAGCACCGGCUAACUACGUG